rnacentral:rRNA from 1 species
ACGGGUGAGUAACGCGUGGGAACAUACCCAACUCUACGGAAUAACUCAGGGAAACUUGUGCUAAUACCGUAUACGCCCUUCGGGGGAAAGAUUUAUCGGAAUUAGAUGAGCCCGCGUAAGAUUAGCUAGUUGGUGGGGUAAUGGCCUACCAAGGCGACGAUCUUUAGCUGGUCUGAGAGGAUGAUCAGCCACACUGGGACUGAGACACGGCCCAGACUCCUACGGGAGGCAGCAGUGGGGAAUAUUGGACAAUGGGCGCAAGCCUGAUCCAGCCAUGCCGCGUGAGUGAUGAAGGCCUUAGGGUUGUAAAGCUCUUUCAGUGGGGAAGAUAAUGACGGUACCCACAGAAGAAGCCCCGGCUAACUUCGUGCCAGCAGCCGCGGUAAUACGAAGGGGGCUAGCGUUGUUCGGAUUUACUGGGCGUAAAGCGCACGUAGGCGGAUUGGUCAGUUAGAGGUGAAAUCCCGAAGCUCAACUUCGGAACUGCCUUUAAUACUGCCAAUCUAGAGUCCGGAAGAGGUGAGUGGAACUCCUAGUGUAGAGGUGGAAUUCGUAGA